CGGUCCACCCUGAUCCCCACUGGUCAGCCUGCAAACUGCCAGGCUUCCCCUGUGCACGAGAAACCCCUGGAAGCCCUGCCAGAAUUGUGCAAGGCCUCUGUGGGCUCAUGCCAGGGGGACUUCAGACAUCC
rnacentral:snoRNA from 1 species